GCAUUGGGAGUUCAAUGGUAGAAUUCUCGCCUCCCAUGCGGGAGAAGCGGGUUCAAUUCCCGGCCAAUGCA